UAGGGAAUCUUCCGCAAUGGACGCAAGUCUGACGGAGCAACGCCGCGUGAGCGAAGAAGGAUUUCGGUUCGUAAAACUCUGUUGUUAGAGAAGAACAGCGCAUAGAGUAACUGUUAUGCGUGUGACGGUAUCUAACCAGAAAGCCACGGCUAACUACGUGCCAGCAGCCGCGGUAAUACGUAGGUGGCAAGCGUUGUCCGGAUUUAUUGGGCGUAAAGCGAGCGCAGGCGGUCAAUUAAGUCUGAUGUGAAAGCCCCCGGCUCAACCGGGGAGGGUCAUUGGAAACUGGUUGACUUGAGUGCAGAAGAGGAGAGUGGAAUUCCAUGUGUAGCGGUGAAAUGCGUAGAUAUAUGGAGGAACACCAGUGGCGAAGGCGACUCUCUGGUCUGUAACUGACGCUGAGGUUCGAAAGCGUGGGUAGCAAACAGG
rnacentral:rRNA from 1 species